UACGUAGGGAGCAAGCGUUGUUCGGAUUUACUGGGCGUAAAGAGCUCGUAGGCGGUUUGUCGCGUCGAAUGUGAAAACCCGGGGCUCAACCCCGGGCCUGCAUUCGAUACGGGCAGACUAGAGUUCGGUAGGGGAGUCUGGAAUUCCUGGUGUAGCGGUGAAAUGCGCAGAUAUCAGGAGGAACACCGGUGGCGAAGGCGGGACUCUGGGCCGAUACUGACGCUGAGGAGCGAAAGCGUGGGGAGCAAACAGG
rnacentral:rRNA from 1 species